AUGGAAGCAGAGGGUAAAAUAGUAAUUUUCCAAGACAAGGUUGGAGGUAGAAAACACAGAUCUGUCUCUCUGACCGUGUCACUGUCAAACCUCGGCGCUUCCAAUUGUAUUCGUUGGAGUUGGUAUCCAAAGAGAACAAUUUUUGGACUCUCUCUCUUUCUCAAUUUCAACUUUAACCUUCUAACCCUUUUUUACUUUUCUUCUUUAUAUAUAAAAAUACUUUUUUUUUCACUGAAACUGUUUCGGUCUUUGCUUUUGAUAAUCUGA